rnacentral:sRNA from 1 species
UUCAUUAAUGUUUUGUGUUUCCAAUCUUUCUUAGGUCCAUGACGUGCCUUGGUGGAACAUAUUGACCUCCUUACCUGUAUGGGCUAUUGUUGUAGGUCAAGUGUGCAAUAAUUAUGUGCACUUUAGUUUUAUCACCUUGCUGCCCACCUACCUGAAAGAAAGUUUAAACUUUGAUAUUAAACAGAACGGACUGGUAUCAUCGUCACCCUAUCUCAGUCAGUUCGUGUCAUCACUUCUGGUGGGCGUUGUGGCCGAUGUAGUCAGAGAGAGACGCUGCAUGUCGACUACAGUAACAAGACGAGUAUUUCAAAGUAUUUCUUUUCUAGGAAUGGCAUUAUGUAUGGUCAGUGUUGGUCAGUUAGAAUGUGAACAACGCUACAUUGCUGUGGUCCUGAUAUGUCUUUGUACUGUGUUUAUGAGUUUCAACAGAGGAGGUUAUCUCGUUAAUCAUUUGGAUCUUGCACCCAGGUGAGUUUUAUUUUUAGUAAUCUUUUAGUACAUAGACCACCGGCAAAUAAUAAAAUUACAUUCUUUUCGAGCUUAGUUCUGUAGCUUUUGUUUUAAUUAUCUAUGGAGCCAAUGCAUCUAAUAUGAUACAAAG